rnacentral:rRNA from 1 species
GUGGGGAAUAUUGCACAAUGGGGGAAACCCUGAUGCAGCGACGCCGCGUGAGUGAAGAAGUAUUUCGGUACGUAAAGCUCUAUCAGCAAGGAAGAAAAUGACGGUACUUGACUAAGAAGCCCCGGCUAACUACGUGCCAGCAGCCGCGGUAAUACGUAGGGGGCAAGCGUUAUCCGGAUUUACUGGGUGUAAAGGGAGCGUAGACGGUAUGGUAAGUCAGAUGUGAAAGCCCGGGGCUCAACCCCGGGACUGCAAUUGGAACUAUCAGACUAGAGUGCAGGGGAGGUAAGUGGAAUUCCUAGUGUAGCGGUGAAAUGCGUAGAUAUUAGGAGGAACACCAGUGGCGAAGGCGGCGUACUGGACUGUAACUGACGUUGAGGCUCGAAAGCGUGGGGAGCAAACAGGAUUAGAAACCCGUGUAGUCC